AUUGAACGCUGGCGGCAUGCCUUACACAUGCAAGUCGAACGGCAGCACGGGUGCUUGCACCUGGUGGCGAGUGGCGAACGGGUGAGUAAUACAUCGGAACAUGUCCUGUAGUGGGGGAUAGCCCGGCGAAAGCCGGAUUAAUACCGCAUACGAUCUACGGAUGAAAGCGGGGGACCUUCGGGCCUCGCGCUAUAGGGUUGGCCGAUGGCUGAUUAGCUAGUUGGUGGGGUAAAGGCCUACCAAGGCGACGAUCAGUAGCUGGUCUGAGAGGACGACCAGCCACACUGGGACUGAGACACGGCCCAGACUCCUACGGGAGGCAGCAGUGGGGAAUUUUGGACAAUGGGCGAAAGCCUGAUCCAGCAAUGCCGCGUGUGUGAAGAAGGCCUUCGGGUUGUAAAGCACGUUUGUCCGGAAAGAAAUCCUUGGCCCUAAUACGGUCGGGGGGAUGACGGUACCGGAAGAAUAAGCACCGGCUAACUACGUG
rnacentral:rRNA from 1 species